UGCCAUGCCUUUCCACAGCUUUCUUGAACUUCUCUUGUGCCUCACUCACUUUCAUUAUUACUGGAGAGACAUCAUCUGUGGAAGCUUAUAGGGAGAGGAGAUCGAGCAAGAAGAGGGUCAAGAAAGCUGUGGGAAGAAAUGGCAU
rnacentral:pre_miRNA from 1 species